UACAGAGGGUGCGAGCGUUAAUCGGAAUUACUGGGCGUAAAGCGUGCGUAGACGGUUAUGUAAGUCAGGUGUGAAAUCCCCAGGCUCAACCUGGGAACUGCGUCUGAUACUGGAUGGCUUGAAUCCGGGAGAGGGAUGCAGAAUUCCAGGUGUAGCGGUGAAAUGCGUAGAUAUCUGGAGGAAUACCGGUGGCGAAGGCGGCAUCCUGGACCGGCAUUGACGCUGAGGAGCGAAAGCCAGGGGAGCAAACGGG
rnacentral:rRNA from 1 species